rnacentral:misc_RNA from 1 species
AAUAAUUAAAUUACAAUCAAUGGUUGAGUGCCACGUCAUUAAAAAUUAUUAUUUAAUUAUUUUUAAUUUUGGUAUGUUAAUGAAGGGGUAAAUUUGGACCCAAAGGUGGAUGUGAAAGGUAUUUGGGGGCCAAUAGGUGGAUGGAGGGCAAUUGUGUAUCAUUUUCAAUACUUUGAGGGUAUUUUAGGCCCUUUUCCGUAUAAAUAAUAAAGAAUCGUGCACGGGGAAAUUGAUUAAUUUGUAAUAAAAUGAAUAUUAAAUGAGUGUUUAUAAAAAGUAUGGUUAAUGGAGAGGAGGUUUGAUUGCUUUGAUUAAUUAAUUCUUGGUAUGUUAAUAUAUCUCUUGAUGUUGU